rnacentral:rRNA from 1 species
AACGAACGCUGGCGGCAUGCCUAACACAUGCAAGUCGAACGAGACCUUCGGGUCUAGUGGCGCACGGGUGCGUAACGCGUGGGAACCUGCCCUUAGGUUCGGAAUAACUCCCCGAAAGGGGUGCUAAUACCGGAUAAUGUCUUCGGACCAAAGAUUUAUCGCCUUUGGAUGGGCCCGCGUUGGAUUAGCUAGUUGGUAGGGUAAAAGCCUACCAAGGCGACGAUCCAUAGCUGGUCUGAGAGGAUGAUCAGCCACACUGGGACUGAGACCCGGCCCAGACUCCUACGGGAGGCAGCAGUGGGGAAUAUUGGACAAUGGGCGAAAGCCUGAUCCAGCAAUGCCGCGUGAGUGAUGAAGGCCUUAGGGUUGUAAAGCUCUUUUACCCGGGAUGAUAAUGACAGUACCGGGAGAAUAAGCGCCGGCUAACUCCGUG